UACGGAGGGUGCGAGCGUUGUCCGGAAUCAUUGGGCGUAAAGGGCGCGUAGGUGGCGCGGUCAGUUCGUGGUGAAGGCGCGGGGCUCAACCCCGCGUCGGCCAUGAAUACUGCUGGGCUGGAGCACUGUAGAGGCAGGCGGAAUUCCGGGUGUAGCGGUGGAAUGCGUAGAGAUCCGGAAGAACACCGGUGGCGAAGGCGGCCUGCUGGGCAGUUGCUGACACUGAGGCGCGACAGCGUGGGGAGCAAACAGG
rnacentral:rRNA from 1 species